UUUACGGAGAGUUUGAUCCUGGCUCAGGACGAACGCUGGCGGCGUGCUUAACACAUGCAAGUCGAACGGAGCGAAUGAAAGCUUGCUUUUAUGAGCUUAGUGGCAAACGGGUGAGUAACACGUAGACAACCUGCCGAUCAGAUGGGGACAACAUUCCGAAAGGAAUGCUAAUACCGAAUGAAGUGUGGGGGAGGCAUCUUCCCUACAUGAAAGAUGGCCUCUAUUUAUAAGCUAUCACUGAUCGAUGGGUCUGCGUCUGAUUAGCUAGUAGGUAAGGUAACGGCUUACCUAGGCGACGAUCAGUAGCCGGUCGGAGAGGAUGAACGGCCACAUUGGGACUGAGACACGGCCCAGACUCCUACG
rnacentral:rRNA from 1 species